AAAUCCUGUAGUCUUAUGAGGACCACCAGUGGUGAAGACGUCUGGUUAGAAUAGGUCCGACGGUGAGGGACGAAUGCUGGGGGCGCAAACCGGACUUAGAUACCCGGGUAGUCCCAGCAGUAAACGAUGCCAGCUAUGUGUUGCUGGAACCAUGGGUUCCAGCAGUGCCGAAUGGAAGCCGUGAAGCUGGCCACCUGGGAAGUACGGUCGCAAGGCUGAAACUUAAAGGAAUUGGCGGGGGAGUACCACAACCGGUGGAGCCUGCGGUUUAAUUGGAUACAACGCCGGGAAUCUUACCGGAGGGGACAGCAGUAUGAAGGCCAGCUAAAGACCUUGCCAGAUCAGCUGAGAGGAGGUGCAUGGCCGUCGCCAGUUCGUACCGUGAGGCAUCCUGUUUAGUCAGGCAACGAUCGAGACCCGCAGUCUUAUUUGCCAGCAUGCCCUUUGGGGUGUAUGGGUACAAUAAGACGACCGCCAGCGCUAAGCUGGAGGAAGGAGCGGGCUACGGUAGGUCAGGCAUGCCCCGA
rnacentral:rRNA from 1 species